rnacentral:rRNA from 1 species
AUUGAACGCUGGCGGCAGGCCUAACACAUGCAAGUCGAGCGGAUGAAGGGAGCUUGCUCCUGGAUUCAGCGGCGGACGGGUGAGUAAUGCCUAGGAAUCUGCCUGGUAGUGGGGGAUAACGUCCGGAAACGGGCGCUAAUACCGCAUACGUCCUGAGGGUGAAAGUGGGGGUUCUUCGGACCUCACGCUAUCAGAUGAGCCUAGGUCGGAUUAGCUAGUUGGUGGGGUAAAGGCUUACCAAGGCGACGAUCCGUAACUGGUCUGAGAGGAUGAUCAGUCACACUGGAACUGAGACACGGUCCAGACUCCUACGGGAGGCAGCAGUGGGGAAUAUUGGACAAUGGGCGAAAGCCUGAUCCAGCAAUGCCGCGUGUGUGAAGAAGGUCUUCGGAUUGUAAAGCACUUUAAGUUGGGAGGAAGGGAAGUAAGUUAAUACCUUGCUGUUUUGACGUUACCAACAGAAUAAGCAACGGCUAACUUCGUG